UACGUAGGGGGCGAGCGUUGUCCGGAUUUACUGGGCGUAAAACGCUUGUAGGCGGCCACGCCAAGUCGGAUGUGAAAUCUCCCGGCUUAACUGGGAGGGGUCAUGCGAUACUGGCGGGCUCGAGGCAGGUAGGGGGAAGCGGAAUUCCCGGUGUAGUGGUGGAAUGCGUAGAUAUCGGGAGGAACACCAGUGGCGAAGGCGGCUUCCUGGACCUGUUCUGACGCUGAGGAGCGAAAGCGUGGGGAGCGAACAGG
rnacentral:rRNA from 1 species